GUAAAAAAGGUAACGAAUUCUAUCAUCAUCCUCUUGGUGCUGUUCAUCCACCAACAGCUACUCUUCUUCUGGAUUGUUUAAACCACCAACACACACCCCAUUCUUUAUUCACCCGAAUCCCUAAUCUUCUCCCAAAGUCUUUCGCUCUGUCUUACACGCACUCACUCCCUCUCCCCAUUCGAACCUCUCUCUCAUCUCUUCUCUGCUGCUUCUGUGCUCUCUUCUCACCCAGUCUCGGGAUAAGCAUAGUUGGGCUUUCAACUGCAGAGAUAACUAGCUGUCUCACUGAGUAUUUCACUAAUCACUCCCCAUAGACAGGUUAUGAAUAUGCGUCAGUGUCACAGUUGGAUGUACGAUAGACUUAAACCAGGUCGAAAGGGUUUAACCAGUGAAUUUACAAAAGGGGUGGAAGGAUUUAUUUCCUUUGCUGAGAGAUCAGCAGAUUUUUCAAAUGGACAUAUUAGAUGUCCUUGUUCUAUGUGUAAAAACAAGGUCUAUAUGCACCCUGAAGAUGUAAGAGUCCAUCUUUAUAGAAAAGGAUUUGGUCCUGACAUUGGUAUUGGACAAGUCACGGAGAAAAUAACUCAACCUUAUGUGAAACCCCUAGCAUGGAAGUAAGGAGUAGUGCACACCUCAAUAGGAUGGAGGACCUAGUUUAUGAAGCUUCUACUGGAUUCAAGUCUGAAGGACAUCGUGAUUCCGAGGACGAGGAGUCUCCAAAUGUUGAUGCUAAAAGUUUCUAUGACUUGUUGCGUGCAUCAAAAAAGCCUUUAUGGCCGGGAUGCGACAAUCACAUUGAACUUUCCUUAGCUGUUAGAUUAAUGAAAAUUAAGUCUGAAGGAAAUAUUACUCAGCGAUCUAUUGUAAUCCCAAAAAACUCCAAAACUGCACAAGGCAACUUAAAUCAAGCAUCUGAUUGUGGCGGGUUUGGAGUGUCUCUUCACACUAGUGGCUCAGUUACCGUUCCAAAACACAAAGCUAAACUGUCAAAGUCGUUAAAAAGGCCUUCAACCCCGUUAGAGUUGUUUGAGUGCACCCACAAAAUGUUAUUGAUCACGGUAUAGAAGAGGCUAUCCAAACGCCUUCUGAAGAAGGAAGUAAUGCACCAAAUGAGGUGGAUGUGUGGUGUGAUACAACUGGAAUUAAAAAGAGAAGAAUUUAUGAAUUUGGAAUAGAGUCUACUGCAAUUGAUAAAAUACCUAGUUGUCAUGGCUCUAGUUCUCAAUCAUCUAAAUGGUUACGAAGGUCGGAACUUGAAGAAAUAUUUAAGAAAUUCCAUGAGGAGAACAAAGUCUUGAGAACUAGGUUGGAAAAAAUAGAAAAAGGACUUGAACUCAAUAACCAGUUGCUGCAACAUAUGAUAAAAAUAACUGAAUUUUGAAAUUCCAAACCUUCAACUGAAGGGUGAAGAAACAAAUGCAAUACAGGAUGAUGGUGGUGAACAAUCUCCCUAAGAGAUGAUGAUUUUGUAUUUCAUAACUAGUAACUAGUUAUGUAAGCAUUAUUCUUGCUUAUUCAUUACGUAGAUAUUAUGAAUAUUAUUUGGUAUUUAUAUGAAAAAUGGACAUAUCUUUGAUUAAUUCAACAUUCAAAUGGUUGACUUGUUGAGUAUGCUCAUUAAUGUUUUGAAGCCAAAACUUCCCAUUUUUGCAUGAAUUCUCUCUUCGGAGGUCCUUUGUGCGGGUGACUUCCAAUUCCGAAAUGAUGGAAUCAUGACUUGUAAGUUUUGAGGUAAGCUUGGUUUUGGUAGCUUAAAAUCACGUUCUGAGGUUACAAACUAUA